rnacentral:rRNA from 1 species
AUUGAACGCUGGCGGCAGGCCUAACACAUGCAAGUCGAGCGGUAGAGAGGAGCUUGCUUCUCUUGAGAGCGGCGGACGGGUGAGUAAUGCCUAGGAAUCUGCCUAGUGGUGGGGGAUAACGUUCGGAAACGGACGCUAAUACCGCAUACGUCCUACGGGAGAAGGCGGGGGACCUUCGGGCCUCGCGCCAUUAGAUGAGCCUAGGUCGGAUUAGCUAGUUGGUGAGGUAACGGCUCACCAAGGCGACGAUCCGUAACUGGUCUGAGAGGAUGAGCAGUCACACUGGAACUGAGACACGGUCCAGACUCCUACGGGAGGCAGCAGUGGGGAAUAUUGGACAAUGGGCGAAAGCCUGAUCCAGCCAUGCCGCGUGUGUGAAGAAGGUCUUCGGAUUGUAAAGCACUUUAAGUUGGGAGGAAGGGUUGUAACUUAAUACGUUGCUACUUUGACGUUACCGACAGAAUAAGCACCGGCUAACUUCGUGCCAGCAGCCGCAGUAAUAC